UUCUGGGAGGAUUGACAGAUUCAGAGCUCUUUCUUGAUUCAGUGGAUGGUGGUGCAUGUCCGUUCUUAGAUUGUGGAGCAAUUUGUCUGGUUAAUUCCGAUAAGUAACGAGACUCUAGUCUAUUAAAUAGGUGCGUGGUUCUCUGCACCUUGCACCCUUCUUAGGGGGACAAGCGGCUCCUAGCUGCACGAAACAGAGCAAUAACAGGUCUGUGAUGCCCAUAGAU
rnacentral:rRNA from 1 species